UAAGAAACCUACAUAUCACUAUCGAUAGAGAAACAUUUACGUUAAUCAACAAUCAUCUUCUACAUUUAAAUAUCUCUUUCAAUCUUAAGUGAAUUUCGGAGGUAGUGAGUGGUUCGACGUGAAAAUUGGAAAAGGCAGAAACAGCAACUAUUCAGAACGGCCACAGGUGUGAGGGAUAUCCUUUAGGAUUAUGUAUGAAGAAUACCUUUAUCUGUGUGCCCAGAUGAAAUUCAACUGGAUGACCCAUAACAUGAACUACGAAUUCAUAAAAUAGAAAUAAAUUAGAAAUAAAGUUAAAACCAAUAAAUCUCAAUUCGGGAAUGCUGCAGUAAAUAUUAUAAUGACGUUGAAGAUAUUGUCUUUCACGUCCUUACAAAAUUAUUGCUACUAAGGAACAAUUCCGCGUUUCUCCAAAGUAUUACAAAAAAUAGGAUACAUAGAAUAUAUAGAAUUUAGAAAAUGCUGAACCGUUAUAUGGCACAAGAAUGGCCAAAGCAUUUUUAAAUCUGUUUAAAAACAGAGAUGGUUUAGAAUUUCCGUAUCGACAUUUGAUUCGGAAUGAAGAUGCAUAUGCAUUUAAAUAAAUACAUAAAUGUUGUAUAAGAUAUAGCAUCAGGGAAAGGUAAAAAGGGAAAAAUACAUAACAUAAAUGAACUUUUCAAAAAAAAUAGAAAUUUACAAUUCUUAUAA